AUUGAACGCUGGCGGCAUGCCUUACACAUGCAAGUCGAACGGCAGCACGGGUGCUUGCACCUGGUGGCGAGUGGCGAACGGGUGAGUAAUACAUCUGAACAUGUCCUGUAGUGGGGGAUAGCCCGGCGAAAGCCGGAUUAAUACCGCAUACGAUCUACGGAGGAAAGCGGGGGCCCUUCGGGCCUCGCGCUAUGGGGUUGGCCGAUGGCUGAUUAGCUAGUUGGUGGGGUAAAGGCCUACCAAGGCGACGAUCAGUAGCUGGUCUGAGAGGACGACCAGCCACACUGGGACUGAGACACGGCCCAGACUCCUACGGGAGGCAGCAGUGGGGAAUUUUGGACAAUGGGCGAAAGCCUGAUCCAGCAAUGCCGCGUGUGUGAAGAAGGCCUUCGGGUUGUAAAGCACUUUUGUCCGGAAAGAAAUCCUUGGCCCUAAUACGGUCGGGGGAUGACGGUACCGGAAGAAUAAGCACCGGCUAACUACGUG
rnacentral:rRNA from 1 species